rnacentral:rRNA from 1 species
UACGUAGGGUGCGAGCGUUGUCCGGAAUUAUUGGGCGUAAAGGGCUCGUAGGCGGUUUGUCGCGUCGGGAGUGAAAACACCGGGCUUAACUCGGUGCUUGCUUUCGAUACGGGCAGACUAGAGGCAUGCAGGGGAGAACGGAAUUCCUGGUGUAGCGGUGAAAUGCGCAGAUAUCAGGAGGAACACCGGUGGCGAAGGCGGUUCUCUGGGCAUGUCCUGACGCUGAGGAGCGAAAGUGUGGGGAGCGAACAGGAUUAGAAACCCCCGUAGUCC